UAUGGGUGCUAGAGACCCCAGUUUUCUGGAACAACAGAAAGAGCCCUCAACCACUGAGACAUCUCUCUAGUACCUCAAAUGGUUUUAAAAGGAAGUUAUUUUGAGCUAGAACAUUCUAAUUUGGUUAUGGUCAUUCAUCUGAAAAUCCUUCCUUAGUACCCCACUUAGAGGAAACAGCAUGAGAGAUAGAGAGUAAACUGGAAUGAGGAGAAACCCAUGGUUAUUCAGGCAGAAUUUCCGUCCACAAUUGUCCUUUCGCUUUUGGAAACUCUGAGUCUCUGUCUGGACUGCUGAAGCCCAGUCUCCGCUGAUGAAAGAGGCCUUCUCACCCUCUUCAGCAAAACGAUGCGUGGGCAAGAUGGAUACAGUGUUGCCCUCCAGCAAUCCCAGCACUCCAGAGACCAAGGGAGGCUUACUGCGGGUUCAAACCCAGCCUGGGCUACAUAAUAAGACCACAGCUCAAAAACAAAUAAAACUCCAUGAACUCCCCUCCCACACACCGAAGU